rnacentral:lncRNA from 1 species
UGAGUGUGUGUGUGUGUGUGUGUGUGUGUGUGUGUGUGUGUGUCUAUGUGUGUGUGUGUGUGUGUGUGUGUGUGUCUGUGUGUGUGUCUAUAUGUGUGUGUGUGUGUGUGUGUCUAUGUGUGAGUGUGUGUGCCUAUGUGUGUGUUUCAAUAUGUGUGUGUGUGUGUGUGUGUGUGUGUGUGUGUGCGUUUGUGUGUGUGUGUCUAUGUGUGAGUGAGUGUGUGUCUAUGUGUGUUUGUGUGUGUGUGUGUGUGUGUGUGUGUCUAUGUGUGUGUGUGUGUGUCUAUGUGUGUGUGUGUGUGUGUGUGUGUGUGUGUGUGUGUGUGUGUGUGUGUUUAUGUGUGUGUGUCUGUCUAUGUGUGUGUGUGUGUGUGUGUGUGUGUGUGUGUGUGUGUGUGUGUGUGUGUGUCUGUGUGUGUGUG